rnacentral:tRNA from 1 species
AUUCCUGUAGUGUAAAUAACACAUUAUCUUUUCAUGAUAAAAUUAGAAAUACUUUCUUUGGAGUU